rnacentral:rRNA from 1 species
AUUGAACGCUGGCGGCAGGCCUAACACAUGCGAGUCGAACGGUAACAGGAAGCAGCUUGCUGCUUCGCUGACGAGUGGCGGACGGGUGAGUAAUGUCUGGGAAACUGCCUGAUGGAGGGGGAUAACUACUGGAAACGGUAGCUAAUACCGCAUAACGUCGCAAGACCAAAGAGGGGGACCUUAGGGCCUCUUGCCAUCGGAUGUGCCCAGAUGGGAUUAGCUAGUAGGUGGGGUAACGGCUCACCUAGGCGACGAUCCCUAGCUGGUCUGAGAGGAUGACCAGCCACACUGGAACUGGGACACGGUCCAGACUCCUACGGGAGGCCGCAGUGGGGAAUAUUGCACAAUGGGCGCAAGCCUGAUGCAGCCAUGCCGCGUGUAUGAAGAAGGCCUUCGGGUUGUAAAGUACUUUCAGCGGGGAGGAAGGGAGUAAAGUUAAUACCUUUGCUCAUUGACGUUACCCGCAGAAGAAGCACCGGCUAACUCCGUG